rnacentral:rRNA from 1 species
UACGUAGGGUGCGAGCGUUAAUCGGAAUUACUGGGCGUAAAGCGUGCGCAGGCGGUUUUGUAAGCCAGAUGUGAAAUCCCCGGGCUUAACCUGGGAAUGGCAUUUGGGACUGCAAGGCUGGAGUGCGGCAGAGGAGACUGGAAUUCCCGGUGUAGAGGUGAAAUUCGUAGAUAUCGGGAGGAACACCAGUGGCGAAGGCGGCUCUCUGGACAGGUACUGACGCUGAGACGCGAAAGCGUGGGUAGCAAACAGG